AUCAAACGCUCCACCACGGAGGACACCGAGGACGCUGAGGUUCAAUCCUAACGAGGCUUAUCCUCCGUGUCCCCGGUGUCCUCUGUGGUGGAGCGUUUCGA
rnacentral:pre_miRNA from 1 species